rnacentral:rRNA from 2 species
AAGGUGACGAAGUUGUUGAUGCCAUGCUUCCAGGAAAAUCCUCUAAACUUAUGGUAUAUCGAACCGUACCCCAAACCGACACAGGUGGUCAGGUAGAGAAUACUAAGGCGCUUGAGAGAACUCGGGUGAAGGAACUCGGCAAAAUCGUACCGUAACUUCGGGAGAAGGUACGCCCUUGUUUGUGAUGGAACUUGCUUCCUAAGCGAACGAGGGCCGCAGUGAAAAGGUGGCUGGAACUGUUUAUUAAAAACACAGCACUGUGCUAAAUCGAAAGAUGACGUAUACGGUGUGACGCCUGCCCGGUGCCGGAAGGUUAAUUGAUGGGGUUAGCGCAAGCGAAGCUCUUGAUCGAAGCCCCGGUAAACGGCGGCCGUAACUAUAACGGUCCUAAGGUAGCGAAAUUCCUUGUCGGGUAAGUUCCGACCUGCACGAAUGGCGUAAUCAUGGCCACGCUGUCUCCACCCGAGACUCAGUGAAAUUGAAAUCGCAGUGAAGAUGCUGUGUACCCGCACCUAGACGGAAAGACCCCGUGAACCUUUACUACAGCUUGGCACUGAACAUUGAAUCUACAUGUGUAGAAUAGGUGGGAGGCUUUGAAGCACAGUCGCUAGAUUGUGUGGAGCCGCCUUUGAAAUACCACCCUUGUAUAUUUGAUGUUCUAACAUUGGUCCCUUAUCGGGAUUGUGGACAGUGUCUGGUGGGUAGUUUGACUGGGGCGGUCUCCUCCCAAAGAGUAACGGAGGAGCACGAAGGUUAGCUAAUCACGGUCGGACAUCGUGAGGUUAGUGCAAUGGCAUAAGCUAGCUUAACUGCGAGACAGACACGUCGAGCAGGUACGAAAGUAGGUCAUAGUGAUCCGGUGGUUCUGUAUGGAAGGGCCAUCGCUCAACGGAUAAAAGGUACUCCGGGGAUAACAGGCUGAUACCGCCCAAGAGUUCAUAUCGACGGCGGUGUUUGGCACCUCGAUGUCGGCUCAUCACAUCCUGGGGCUGAAGUCGGUCCCAAGGGUAUGGCUGUUCGCCAUUUAAAGUGGUACGCGAGCUGGGUUUAGAACGUCGUGAGACAGUUCGGUCCCUAUCUGGUGUGGGCGUUGGAUGAUUGAGGGGAGCUGCUCCUAGUACGAGAGGACCGGAGUGGACGAACCGCUGGUGUUCGGGUUGUCAUGCCAAUGGCAUUGCCCGGUAGCUACGUUCGGAAUCGAUAACCGCUGAAAGCAUCUAAGCGGGAAGCGAGCCCCAAGAUGAGUCAUCCCUGACAGUUUAACUGUCCUAAAGGGUUGUUGAAGACUACGACGUAGAUAGGCAGGAUGUGGAAGCGUUGUGAGGCGUUAAGCUAACCUGUACUAAUUGCCCGUGAGGCUUAACCAU